GGAGCUGUAGCUCAGUGGCAGAGCACUCAGCUAGCAUGUGUGAGGCACUGGGUUCAAUCCUCAGCACCA
rnacentral:tRNA from 1 species